rnacentral:rRNA from 1 species
GUAGGGAAUCUUCCACAAUGGACGCAAGUCUGAUGGAGCAACGCCGCGUGAGUGAAGAAGGCUUUCGGGUCGUAAAACUCUGUUAUUGAAGAAGAACGUGUGUGACAGUAACUGGUCAUGCAGUGACGGUAUUCAAUCAGAAAGUCACGGCUAACUACGUGCCAGCAGCCGCGGUAAUACGUAGGUGGCAAGCGUUGUCCGGAUUUAUUGGGCGUAAAGCGAGUGCAGGCGGUCUUUUAAGUCUGAUGUGAAAGCCUUCGGCUUAACCGAAGAAGGGCAUCGGAAACUGGGAGACUUGAGUGCAGAAGAGGAGAGUGGAACUCCAUGUGUAGCGGUGAAAUGCGUAGAUAUAUGGAAGAACACCAGUGGCGAAGGCGGCUCUCUGGUCUGUAACUGACGCUGAGGCUCGAAAGCGUGGGUAGCAAACAGGAUUAGAUACCCUGGUAGU